rnacentral:other from 1 species
UCUCGCCUGCGGUAUGCGUGAAUCUGGAUCGUUUUGGGGCCUACAAUUUUUUGUUUGAGGAAGCGAGUUUCAGUUCUCUGAGCCGUUAUCCGCCUGUUUAAAAACAGGCCUUCAAACACCGGAACUACGGUACUGCGGGUAUUUU